ACUUUUAAAAUCUGUGUCUGUUACUCGAAAGGCCAACAAACCGAUCGGUUGUCCAUAAAUCAGUUACAUAUCGGGCUCAUAUAACGGCACACAUCUUUUUAUAACCCCACGAUCAUCAUGAUCCGCUGAUCGGAAGAUCCAUGUAUAAUGCUGUGGUGCAAAGUCGGCCGAUGGCGAGUGCUUCGUAGCGCCCGAGUCAAAGCUAAAGCUAAAGCCAUCCAUCCAUCCAGGACAGAGGCGGCCAGAUUCAAGAGGAGUUGGCCAAGGGGAGGCAACUGUCUGUAAAUUAACGCGGGCGUUAAAAUUGCAAUUUUUCACUUAAUGCACACACUGAGACAACGACAACAAGAACAACCGACUGCAACUGCAACUGCAGCUAAAUCAUCAAAGUCAAUGGCAGCAGCGGCAGAAGCUGAGAUAUCAGAGGAGCAUGUCCAUUUAGAGAUGGGUAAACCAAUCAUAUAAGAAGGGAUUGGGAUAUCAUGGGAUACGUAAAGUUAUAAAAAUGGUAUAAUAACAAAUAACAACAACACAUUUAACGAUAACAAAUUUAAUCUAAGCUAAAGUUCUUUAUUUUGCUGAAAGGUUUCGAUCAUAUUUCCCCAUUUCAACGACUGAUAUAUUGCCCAUCUCUAGGUAGAAAAUCUGUGCCCGACUGAAACUCGUUCCUUAUGUAAAGUGUCCUUGAAAUAAUUGUAA